CCCUUAGAUGUUCUGGGCUGCACGCGCGCUACACUGAUGCGAUCAACAAGUUUUUCCUAUGUCGAUAGACACGGGUAAUCUUUUGAACUCGCAUCGUGAUGGGGAUAGAUUAUUGUAAUUAUUAAUCUUCAACGAGGAAUUCCUAGUAGGUGCAAAUCAUCAGUUUGCAUCGAUUACGUCCCUGCCCUUUGUACACACCGCCCGUCGCUGCUACCGAUUGGUUGAUCUGGUGAAUUAUUCGGACUGCCGGCUGAAGGGGUUUCCUCAUCUGCCAGCGGAAAGUCUUGUUAACCCUAUCAACUAGAGGAAGCAGAAGUCGCAACA
rnacentral:rRNA from 1 species